GGGGAAUCUUGCGCAAUGGGAGCAAUCCUGACGCAGCGACGCCGCGUGGGGGAGGAAGGGCUUCGGCUCGUAAACCCCUGUCGCCCGGGGCGAACCUCUGGUUUCGACCAGACUGACGGUACCGGGUGAGGAAGCACCGGCUAACUCCGUGCCCGCAGCCGCGGUAAGACGUAGGAGGCGAGCGUUAUCCGGAUUCACUGGGCGUAAAGCGCAUGUAGGCGGUUGGACAAGUCGUGUGUUAAAGCCCCUGGCUCAACUGGGGGAGGUCAUGCGAGACUGUGCGACUUGAGGGCAAGAGAGGCACGUGGAACUCCCGGUGUAGCGGUGGAAUGCGUAGAGAUCGGGAAGAACACCAGUGGCGAAGGCGGCGUGCUGGGUUGCACCUGACGCUGAGAUGCGAAAGUGUGGGGAGCAAAC
rnacentral:rRNA from 1 species